UACGUAGGGUGCAAGCGUUAAUCGGAAUUACUGGGCGUAAAGCGUGCGCAGGCGGUUUUGUAAGUCUGUUGUGAAAUCCCCGGGCUCAACCUGGGAAUGGCAAUGGAGACUGCAAGGCUAGAAUCUGGCAGAGGGGGGUAGAAUUCCACGUGUAGCAGUGAAAUGCGUAGAGAUGUGGAGGAACACCGAUGGCGAAGGCAGCCCCCUGGGUCAAGAUUGGACG
rnacentral:rRNA from 1 species